rnacentral:rRNA from 1 species
AUACGAAGGGACCUAGCGUAGUUCGGAAUUACUGGGCUUAAAGAGCACGUAGGUGGUUAAAAAAGUUGGUGGUGAAAUCCCAGAGCUUAACUCUGGAACUGCCUUCAAAACUUUUUAACUAGAGUGUGAUAGAGGAAAGUAGAAUUUCUAGUGUAGAGGUGAAAUUCGUAGAUAUUAGAAAGAAUACCAAUUGCGAAGGCAGCUUUCUGGAUCAUUACUGACACUGAGGUGCGAAAGCAUGGGUAGCGAAGAGGAUUAGAUACCCUCGUAGUCCAUGCCGUAAACGAUGUGUGCUAGACGUUGGAAAUUUAUUUUCAGUGUCGCAGCGAAAGCAUUAAGCACACCGCCUGGGGAGUACGACCGCAAGGUUAAAACUCAAAUGAAUUGACGGGGACCCGCACAAGCAGUGGAGCAUGUGGUUUAAUUCGAAGAUACGCGCAGAACCUUACCAACACUUGACAUGUUCGUCGCGACUUUAAGGGAUUAAAGUCUUCGGUUCGGCCGGACGAAACACAGGUGCUGCAUGGCUGUCGUCAGCUCGUGUCGUGAGAUGUUGGGUUAAGUCCCGCAACGAGCGCAACCCUUACUUUUAGUUGCCACCAUUUAGUUGAGCACUCUGAAAGAACUGCCAGUGAUAAGCUGGAGGAAGGUGGGGAUGACGUCAAGUCCUCAUGGCCCUUACGUGUUGGGCUACACACGUGCUACAAUGGCACUCACAAUAGGAAGCAAAGAGGCGACUCUAAGCAAAUCCUAAAAAAGUGCCUCAGUUCGGAUUGUACUCUGCAACUCGAGUACAUGAAGCUGGAAUUGCUAGUAAUCGCGGAUCAGCGCGCCGCGGUGAAUACGUUCCCGGGUCUUGCACACACUG